rnacentral:rRNA from 1 species
ACGCGGUUUGGCACCUCGAUGUCGACUCAUCGCAUCCUGGGGCUGAAGUAGGUCCCAAGGGUUCGGCUGUUCGCCGAUUAAAGCGGUACGAGAGUUGGGUUCAGAACGUCGUGAGACAGUUCGGUCCCUAUCUGUUGUGGGCGUAGGAGACUUGAGAGGCUCUGUCCUUAGUACGAGAGGACCGGGAUGGACGAACCUCUGGUGUUCCGGUUGUCAUGCCAGUGGCAUUGCCGGGUAGCUAUGUUCGGAUGGGAUAACCGCUGAAAGCAUCUAAGUGGGAAACCCACCUCAAGAUUAGGUCUCCCGGGGAGUAAUCCCCCUAAAGACCUGUGGUAGACCACCACGUUGAUAGGCUGGAGGUGUAAGUGCGGUGACGCAUUAAGCUGACCAGUACUAAUCGGUCGUGAGACUUGACCCU